GGUGUGGAGAUUGCUUAAAGAACUAAAAGUAGAUCUACCAUUUGAUCCAACAACCCCAUUCCUCAGUAUCUACCCAGAGGAAAAGAAGUCAUUAUACAAAAAAGAUACUUGUACACACGUUUAUAGCAGCAAAAUUCAUAAUUGUGAAAAUAUGGAACCAGCCCAAAUGCCCAUCAAUCAAUGAGUGGAUAAAGAAAAUGUGAUAUGUACACACACACCCCAUGGAAUACUACUCAGCCAUAAAAAGGAGCAAACUGGAUGGAAUUGGAGACCAUUCUUCUAAUUGCAGCAACCUGGAUGGAAUUGGAGACCAUUCUUCUAAGUGAAGUAGCUCAAGAAUGG
rnacentral:lncRNA from 1 species